rnacentral:rRNA from 1 species
GGAGUUAGCCGGUGCUUCUUCUGUGAGUGAUGUCCUUCCUGCCGGCUAUUAACCCGCAGGCCUUCUUCCUCACUGAAAGUGCUUUACAACCCGAAGGCCUUCUUCACACACGCGGCAUGGCUGGAUCAGGGUUGCCCCCAUUGUCCAAUAUUCCCCACUGCUGCCUCCCGUAGGAGUCUGGGCCGUGUCUCAGUCCCAGUGUGGCUGAUCAUCCUCUCAGACCAGCUACGGAUCGUCGCCUUGGUGAGCCGUUACCUCACCAACCAGCUAAUCCGACAUAGGCUCAUCCGAUAGCGCGAGGCCCGAAGGUCCCCCGCUUUCCCCCGUAGGGCGUAUGCGGUAUUAGCCUGGGUUUCCCCAGGUUAUCCCCCACUACCGGGCAGAUUCCUAUGCAUUACUCACCCGUCCGCCGCUCGCCACCAGGGAGCAAGCUCCCCGUGCUGCCGCUCGACUUGCAUGUGUUAGGCCUGCCGCCAGCGUUCAAUCUGAGCCAUGAUCAAACUCUGA